UGGCGGAAGCAUUUGAAUGAUUAAAUCUUACGAAAAAGUCGAAAAUAAAUCGGUGAAAAUUUAAUUUUAAUCCAUUUAUUUAAUAUUUCUGCAUCGUUUCGUUGAAUUAAACGUUUUAUUUUGAUUAGAAUAAGGAAUUAUUAAGUUAUUAAACGUUAAACCUUUUAAAACAAGUCACGAGUCUCGACAUAAUCAGCCACUGCUAAUGUGCGAGCCUGACUGCAUGACAAGAUCUUAAGUUAAUUAGAACAUAGCUCUUAAUUAAACAGAGUAUCCAUCACUUUGUAAUAUAAAGAAUCUUCAGCGGGAGAGAAAUAAUUGGAAGAAUCAAGCUGGUUUUUAAAGUACGCUUUUGAAGGAAAGAAAAAAAGGCAUUUGCUAAUAAAAUGAUUAACAUUUUCCAAGAAACGAUAACUGUCUUUUUAAGUGAUUAUAGAAUAAAAGAAUUUGAUGAUUUUUAUUCUAUGAAAAAGCUACUUGAAACGUAACGUUUAAUAAGUUAAAGGAAAUACAACUGCGUAUAUUAUUAUACAGGCAGGUGAUAUUGUAUAUAUUAAUAAAGAUAUAAAUAAUUUCCAUCGAAUUUUAGUCUACUUCUUUUUUUUAAAAGGAACAGAAUGAACUUCGUUUUUUUCUUUGACUAAGUUAUCCAGCAAUUAGUAAUUUUUUCCCAAGCAUGAAAAUGAGAUUUAUUUCCUUGUAAGCUCGUAUGUAACGGUUAACUUGAUAUAGCUCUUUAUACGACUACUCGACUAUUCAAAUUUUGAGAGAGAGGGGGGGGAUAAAAAAUUCUUUGCAGAUGGAAAAGCAUGUUGGUUCCUCAUUCUUCGGACAGAUGCCCGCUAUACAAGCCUUA
rnacentral:misc_RNA from 1 species